rnacentral:misc_RNA from 1 species
GAUGCAAUAGGCAUUAAGUUGGAGCUAUGAUUACAUUUUUUCCCCUUUUUUGGUAAUGGGAAGGUACAGUGUUCAAUUAUUUUGGAUGGCCAUUCUAGAGAUUGUAUGUUGUAAUUUACUUGUAAAUUAAUGUCUAAUGUCUACAGAUAUACUUGGAGAUUAUUAUGGUAAGGCAAGGAUCAACAAAAGAUGCUCAAAACGUUGAUAAGAUGGUCUUACUAUUGGCAACUAUUUAUGAAUCAGCU